rnacentral:rRNA from 1 species
CAGUAGCCGCGGGAAUACGUAGGUGGCAAGCGUUAUCCGGAAUUAUUGGGCGUAAAGCGCGCGUAGGCGGUUUCUUAAGUCUGAUGUGAAAGCCCACGGCUCAACCGUGGAGGGUCAUUGGAAACUGGGAAACUUGAGUGCAGAAGAGGAAAGUGGAAUUCCAUGUGUAGCGGUGAAAUGCGCAGAGAUAUGGAGGAACACCAGUGGCGAAGGCGACUUUCUGGUCUGUAACUGACGCUGAUGUGCGAAAGCGUGGGGAUCAAACAGGAUUAGAUACCCCCGUAGUCCCUGUCUCUUAUAC